UUGAGGGUUCUCGGGUGGACUCAAGCCGUGCUUUCUAUUGUGUAGGCCCAUCUGGACCUUUGAGCCGCACUGUGGAAGGGCUGUCCCUGGGAGCUGUGUCUAUCAGGACGCUGUGCACCUGUGUCCGAUGUUGGGGUGACCUGUGGACAGAGGACCCACAGCACGGAUGGGGACCUUGGGGAGCUGGAACUUAGCAGAGAGCCGCUCAUUCAUCCUGCCUGCAUUCCCUCCUCCCACAGAAACUCAUCUGCGCCUUCUGGGCGCCCGGCCUCUCUGGGCCCCUUUAAGGCCUCAGCGCUCCACGGAUGCACUGCUAUCACGGCCCCCAAACCCUCAUCCCAAGAGUCAGGCUUUAUCUCCAAGGCACCAAAGGAUAGUCGGGACGAAGCUGGGCUCCUUGCCAGAACAACGCAAUGAGAGGCUUUGCUCUGAUGGGCUGGCUUCCUUGCCUACAGGAUGGAAGAUGUACACCGGGAGUGGAACAAUGGAGUAGGUUUUUUUGGCAGUGAACUUGUACUGAUCCAAUCAGUGACCUUCAUUUCAGGAAUUCAGGAAUCUCUGGAAGUGCGAGGAUCUGCCCCAUUGUCAGUGAGUGUUAGGCCCUCUUUGUGAAGGUGUAAGGGCCCAUAGACAUUUUGUGAAUGCUUAUGAAAAAGGCACCUGAAUCCUUCUCCAAAUUUCCUCCUACACCUCCGAGUCCUAGGCACCCACAUGGGAGUUCCCACCCCUCCCACUUGCCCAUUUUGAUGUUCACACUGGUCCCUGUUCAGUUUCAGGGACAAGCCUCAGGGGUGCGAGUGAGGAUGCUCGAUUCCUCAAAGAAUGUUUAUAUUUGAAACAGGAUCACUGGUAAAUGGGUCUGUAACCCCAAGGAACACAUCCCAGGGGGGGCACUUCAAGCAGCGUGACCAUCUGGUCCCACUUACCAUGGCUCCUUCCUCGUUAGGUGAUAAGCCCUAGAGGGCCAGGCCCUUGGCUUUGGGUCUCUUGCUGCCUAGAUUCUCCAGUCACAACUUUUAGUCUCAUUUUUACCUGUCUGUUCCCAAUGAAGGACACUCCUUAAGUGUGCUGUUCCUCAAAUUUCACUUUGCGUACAAGCUUCAUGAGUUUUGCCAUAUGUACAUAGGAACAGGCUACUACUAACUUAAUAUUUCUAUUUACAUAAACUCACAUGAGUUUACUUAAAAGGAAACUUACGUCACUAAUGUAAAUAGAAGGCCAAGAUUGUGUUCUAUAAAUAAGCUUUACCAGGAAAUAUAACUACAAUGGAAGUAAUAUUAUAUACCAGCUAGAUACCGUUGCCUAGGAAGGCUCUUAACCUGAGAUCUGCUCCUUUUUUUGUUGAAAAUGACAGGUGUUAGAACACUGUUAAAGACAUCCUAGCACAGUCCUGAGCCUUUAUCCUAAAGGAGGAUAGAAAAGGAGCCACUCUCUGAUUCAAUGCUAUUUAAACUGGUGCCCUCCCCACCAUCCAAAGUCAAUGGGGGGUCCAA
rnacentral:lncRNA from 1 species